UGGUAGAAUGUUCCUCUGUAUGGGUUGAAGUUUUUUGUUGGUUUUUUUUUUUUUUUUUUUGAAAUUGCAGGGCAGUACCUUGUGUAGUAUGGCUGUCUCAACUGUGAUAUUUAGGAGUUAGUGUUUCAGUUUUUUGGGGUGUUCUUAUUUUGGGCUUCGUUUCUUUGCCGCAAAUGUUUUGGAUGCGGAUUCCUGUUGAGACUGUGGCACCAUUAUCUUCAACCUGUUGUCACACAGAAAUGGGGAGAAGGUCCUUGUGCAUUUUCCAGAGACAUGUCUACCAGCUGGACUUGGAAUCCCUCAGUUCUAGAUGGCCAGAACAACUAACUUGAGAAAUUGAAAACAUUCUACAGGAGGACGGGCAAGUCUUUAUCCGUUCAUCUACUGAUUGUGAGUAUUCUUAGAGAGGCUUACACUGGCAGCACACACUUCUGUGUUAUUGCCUUACUGGAGUCUGAGAAGUCUGUAUCUUUUUGCCUCUUGUGUUUCCUGCAUGGAGUGCAUUUCUCCUCAGAUUCCUGUGUUGCCAUUUCAUAGUCAGCUCCCUCUGCCUGAAGGAGCUAAGACCUCCCUUGAAUUUCAAGUGCUUCACUAAAUGCUCCUGUCAGGCAGCUUCUGAUAGACUCCUGUGAUGCCCCUUUGAGAGGAGGCCACUGACAAGAGGCUGCUCUUGAGAGAAGAGAGAAACUAUUAUUUCACUACUGAUAUGGGGCUUAAGAAAAAGAAUCCAUCUCAUCCUUCCACUCAAUAUAAAAAACCACCAUGAAAAGUCAUUCUGUAUUUUCAGUUUUCAACAGGACUGCAUUAAAAAAAAGUUGCUUGUUCAUUCAUUUUAAUGAUAGCAGCUGGUAAAGGGAGGUUCUCAUGUGUCAGCAUCCUAACAGUGUUUUUCAGGUAACUUAUAUUAACCUAAUUGAACUAAUACAUCUUAAAAAGGAAUCUGUUUUGCCCGCCAAGACAGGAAUAUAACAGCAACUAAUUCACUGCAUAGCUGGAAAAUAACAGAACAUCAAAUGCUUUGGGAGCCAGUGAAUGUUACUUUUGCAGAUGUUCUUACACAAGCAGCUAAGCUGUAUGGGCAGACGGAUACUUGCAGAAAAUUAAAUUGCCACAAGGUGGUGAAGACAAGGCUGGCAUUAUUCACAGGUAUUGAAUGGUGAUCAGUAAAGCUGGCCUCACCUUUUAGACUUUUUCAGCUGGAGUAAUUUAUCAUCAGCUGAUGUGCAGGGAGACUUGCUUUACUAAAAAAGCAAUAAAUCUUUUUUGUCUGUACUAAAGUAUAAAAAUGGAUAUUCCAGAAUUAAUUAAUUUUAACUUGGGAUUAAACUUGGGUCAUACUGAUAGUA